CAAUAUUGUUGGCUAGAUCUUGUCCAUUGCAUUAGUUAACAUAUCUCCCUCACAUCUCAGCAGCAGGACCAAACUUAACUAAUCAUUCGAAGAAUCCUCCUUGCCAAGGGGCCUUAGGAGUAUUGAAUGAUCACUCAAUCCGUUUGAUCUCCAUAUGAUGUAGUUAGACGUCGGGAAGUUGAAAUAAAGCCUUUAAUCUUCAGGACGCAGUUACAAACGUCUGGC